AAAUUGAAGAGUUUGAUCAUGGCUCAGAUUGAACGCUGGCGGCAGGCCUAACACAUGCAAGUCGAACGGUAACAGGAAGCAGCUUGCUGCUUCGCUGACGAGUGGCGGACGGGUGAGUAAUGUCUGGGAAACUGCCUGAUGGAGGGGGAUAACUACUGGAAACGGUAGCUAAUACCGCAUAACGUUGCAAGACCAAAGAGGGGGACCUUCGGGCCUCUUGCCAUCGGAUGUGCCCAGAUGGGAUUAGCUUGUUGGUGGGGUAACGGCUCACC
rnacentral:rRNA from 1 species